rnacentral:rRNA from 1 species
GACGAACGCUGGCGGCGUGCUUAACACAUGCAAGUCGAACGGAAAGGCCCUGCUUUUGUGGGGUGCUCGAGUGGCGAACGGGUGAGUAACACGUGAGUAACCUGCCCUUGACUUUGGGAUAACUUCAGGAAACUGGGGCUAAUACCGGAUAGGAGCUCCUGCUGCAUGGUGGGGGUUGGAAAGUUUCGGUGGUUGGGGAUGGACUCGCGGCUUAUCAGCUUGUUGGUGGGGUAGUGGCUUACCAAGGCUUUGACGGGUAGCCGGCCUGAGAGGGUGACCGGCCACAUUGGGACUGAGAUACGACCCAGACUCCUACGGGAGGCAGCAGUGGGGAAUAUUGCACAGUGGGCGGGAGCCUGAUGCGACAACGCCGCGUGCGGGGUGACAGCCUUCGGGUUGUGAACCGCAUUCGCCUGUGACGAAGCGUGAGUGACGGUAAUGGGUAAAGAAGCACCGGCUAACUACGUG